rnacentral:rRNA from 1 species
GAUGAACGCUGGCGGCGUGCCGAAGACAGGCAAGUCGAGCGAACGGACGAGAAGCUGGCGGCGCUGAGGUUAGCGGCGGACGGGGGAGGAACACGUGGAUAACCGACCUAUAAGACUGGGAUAACUUCGGGAAACCGGAGCUAAUACCGGAGGAUAUUUUGAACCGCAUGGUGCAAAAGUGAAAGACGGUCUUGCUGUCACUUAUAGAUGGAUCCGCGCUGCAUUAGCUAGUUGGUAAGGUAACGGCUGACCAAGGCAACGAUGCAUAGCCGACCUGAGAGUGUUCUCGGCCCCCCUUGACCUGAGACACUGUCCCGACUCCUCCUGGAGGCCGCAGUAGGGAAUCUUCCGCCAUGGGCGAAAGCCUGACGGAGCAACGCCGCGUGAGUGAUGCAGGUCUUCGGCUCUUAACCCUCUUUUCUUCGGGAAGAACAUAUGUGUAAUUCACUCUGCACAUCUUGACGGUACCUACUCAGAAAGCCCCCGCUCCCUACGUG